UUAUCAUCUGGUUUAUCACCUUCACCUUUAUUUGCUGCUCCAUCAAGCACUUCUACCUUCAGUAAUGGACAGUUCGCACCUAGUCCUGCUAUCUCAGCCUUUUCUCUCUUGGAUUCAAGUAAUUCCCCAAAGGAUGUUCAGUCUUACAGUUCAAGUGAGGUUGCCCAUUCCACAAGCAUUUCAGCUGCUGUUGGUGGUGGUCUGUUUGGUUUUGCUGCAGCAUCUUCAGUAUCAACUGAACCUCUUAUCAAAUCUGGGCCCUCUGAAGUUCCAUCAAUGGUGUCAAAGCUUUUAACAGCUUCCACUGCAGACAACGCAGACUUGCAAACCAAAGCAGCUAAUUCUGACAAUUUGAGUAGCAGUUCACCUUUUGCGGGCUCAUCAUUUGCAUCUACAAGUCCUGGAAAUAGUAUUUUUGGUUUUAGUUCAUCAGGAAUGUCUACAGUUACUACAGCUAGUGACCAAUCUCAGAGUUCCGUUUUCAGCACUGGAGCUCAGUCACUUGUUAGUGCUCAAACUUCACUCACUGGAUCAGACAAUACCAGAGUCUCACAGAGUGUUCCUGCUCAUUUUGGGUCAUCUACUACAUCACCAGUAGUGGGCAAUU
rnacentral:misc_RNA from 1 species